ACUAUAAACAUAUAUAUAAACAAGUAGAUUAAUUCAAAAUCGCCAUUUGUGUUUAAUGAAGUUUUCCGCUUUCAGAAGUCACCGCGAUUACUAACAUUAACAUUAACUUCGCGAUUUUAAGUCCUUGUGUAGGCAGGAUCGUAUUAGGCCCUUUCUAGUUUCCCUUUUUCCUUGCUUAUAAAAAUACAAUUAUAUGAAAAACAUAUAAAUUCUUUUAUUUCGAGUAUGAAUGAGAUUCCAAUUUUCCUAUUUAGUUUUGAUAUAAACAUGUGCCAAUAAUACUUUCUUUUAGAUAAAAAUCUAUUAAUCUUUUGAUUUUUUUAGGUUUGUAUUUAAUUGAAUUGUCUUUUUAGGGACCUUUUACAAAUUUGUAUGUAUUGAAUUUGAUAACCAGAGGAGACACCAGAGAAACACGCAUUCUCUGGUGACACACAUGUACUCUUUUUUUAUCAAUUGUUUUUACAGGUACCCACAUCUUGUUCCCUUACUCGCGAUCAACUACAUAGCAGCGCCUUACCCCCACCACUUUGUUUGGGUCGCCCGCAGGUAUUAUAGGACAGCCUGCAGAGAGUAUAGACUGAGGAGUCUUGCCGGAGUCCUCUCUCCCUGACCUUCGGGUGAAUUGAAGUCAUAAUUACGUUCAGGGUCCACUUGUUUUUUAUCUCUUGUCUUCAGUAAGAAAACAAACGGCAACAUAGAUGUCGUUGCAUUCCGUAAUUGUCGUGGAUUGUGCGAACUGGCGCUGUAAUUGUUUGGAGAAGCUUGCUCAUACUGCAAGUCACAGUUUCGUGUAUAAAAUUCAAACGACAAGUCGCAAAAACCACAUUAAUUACCAUGUCUGCCGAAAAACCAAAGCUCGAUCUUGGUGUUCUUGAAGAAGAUGAUGAAUUCGAAGAGU